CAAGAACGCAGUCUCCGCCAAUGAAAGGAGAAGAAGUACCACAGAGUGUAGGCAGGUUGCCAAGUGAGCUCGGCAGCGUGACGGAGCUGCAUUGAGUUUCUUUAAUGAAAGCCAGGAAAGAACACAUUACACAGUGUUUCUUCAGAGAGCUAAGCUAGCCUCCAGUGAUUGAAAUCAAUAAAAACAGUCGGCAAGGGGCCCAAGUGGGGGGAGAACCAAAUCUACACUCCAGGACUCAGUUUGCUUUCCACUUUCCCCCCUUCCUUCAGAAGUUAAACUUUGAAAAACUAUAUGCUACUCCUUGCAGGACUCUAAAGGUUUUUUAAAAAUUAUUUUUGGUCCAGGGGCCUGGCGAGUGGACAGCCGCUUUAAGCUUCCUUCCAACUCACCCCCUCCAUUCUCUUUUACAGCGUGGGCAGCAAUGAAAGGAUUGUUUUGAACGUGAAACCUGCUGAGAAGGACACCUCCGGACAAGUGCCUGAUCUUACGACUUGGGGUGGGGGUGGGGGGCAGAGAGGAUGAAGCCUGUAACAGAAAAACGUGUGAAGAAAUGAAAGAGGAAGUAAAACAUGGAAUUUUGUUCAGAAGAAAGCUCUCUGUCUGGAUAGCAUGUCAGCUGCUGUUGUGGCGAAUUCUGAAGCUGCUGAAGAGACAGCCUUGAAGGGGGUUGAUUCCAUAUUAAAGCAGAAAAACCUGAGAAUUCAUGUUCAGUUAAGAGUUCAGGAUCAAUCUCAGGUAAGUCUCUGAGCAGUUUUUAGCCUUCUGGUUGAAAAUCUGAAAUUAAAAAGACACUUAUCUUCAUGGUGACUUAAAAAUGUUUUCAAUGUGCCUUCCUGUUAACUCUUUAAAGGAUAUUUGAAUGCAACGUAUUUUAGCAAUCUGAAAUGAGACAUUUUGAAAAUUCUGCCAGGACACCAAUCAUCACAAAGAAUGGCCAAAUACGCACAAAGACUGUGGAAUUUCCUUUUUUAUUCUUGUCAUUGUGUUUUUGUGUAAUCUGAUUUAUUGACCAGAGUCCGGCCAUUACGUAACUCUACCCGCUCCCCCAAGGACUUUGUGUUCCAUGCGUUUGAGAAUCUGAUUUGUUGUUUUCAUUGUGAAAGAUCGGGGAGCCCAUAGACUGAAAGAAAGAAAGCUGCAUUUCUGAAGGUUUCUGUAAUGAUUUUCAAAUGAAGUAUGUAUCCACUUGAUCGGUUUUAUAGAGAGCUACAUGGAGCAUGUAAGCAGUCUGCAUGCUUCUUAAAACUAGAGAUAUUAAAGUAUCUGUUGUUCCCUAAACAAUUAUGACAGAAUGCAACUGAAUAAUUUUAUUUUCAUGUGGAGAAGUUAAAAAGUGUGUGUGUAAGUGUGUGUGUGUGUGUGUGUGUGAGAGAGAGAGAGAGAGAGAGAGAGAGAGAGAGAAAGAAACUGUUGCUAAGGAAUGUAUAGGAGACUGCCAACACUCAUGAUUUUAAUAUGAUGAGAAACUUGAAAUCAUGAAAACUUUAUCUUGCUCCCCAUAAUGGUUGCAGAGAGAAGGGAAAACACUUGAUACAAGUCAAUAGUAUCUUAGGCUGAAAACAAAGAAAGCAAGUGCAUAUCCUCCAACAAUUCCCAUAUGAAAAUAGGGACAUGCUUCCAACACUCCUAUUUCCAUAGUAAGGAUCAUUAGCUAAGACCCCCCCCUUUCCACUGUUACACAUUUCUGAAGGUUCUACUCUGCCUCAUUUAUUAUUUUAAACAGCCUAACUGCCAUUCAUUUUAAAAGCUAAGGUCCUUGUUCUUUUGCUAAAGAUAUGCUAGAAAAACAUUAUUGCCCUACAUGAUGUUAUCAGUAGUUCAAAAUACACCUCAGCAGCUGCAGUCUGUGAAAUGAUAGGCUGAGCACUACAUGGUGUCAUCCAUGCAAGAGAUUUCAGUUCUAGCCACCCCAGAGAGGGAACUAAGGCCAGAAUGAUGACAACUCUAGAAUCUCACACUAUUAAAAAGACGUAUCAAGAACACAAAAAUAGAGAGAGUGAUUUAUUAUCCCAGAAAACAGAACAGUCAGAGAGUAUGUAAGUGGGGGGAAAUACUGUUUUACAUCACUGAUGAUUUAUAAAUGAAUUUUAUAUAAAGGCCUCUAAUUUGGACCUGGAAUUCUGGUGUCUGUACGGCUCCCACCAUUAAAAGAACUUCCCAUAUGUGAGCAGACUAGAAAUCAGAACUACACAAAUCCAUGGCAAAAAUAGAGAGAGGAAAAUAUCCAAAAGCUAAUGUAAAAGAAAGAGCAUUGUUUUUAAAGGAAAUGGUAUGAAAACUGAGUAAAAUCAGGCUUUUAUAUCAACUUUCCUCCCAAUUUCUUUAUGAUCAGAUAUACAAAAUCCAGAACCAUUUGUUACUUCAAAAACUGUAAAACUGGUUGUCUGCAGGGACACAGUGAAUUUCCCCUUCAUCCUCUGAAUGUUUACUUCACCUCAGGUUUUUUCGCAUUGAUAAGGGAUUAACUUGUAAGGUUUUUGUACUAAUAAGUAAACUGACUUGAUUAAAAACAAAUAUCUGAUUGAGUCUAAGAAAAUAUGGCAAGACUCGUGAAACUGACUACACCAUAUGGAUAUUGCAAAUUUUCUUGUAUAUUAAACUCCAUGUCAUACAUGGUCUAUAGAGAAACUGACUUGCAACAGAUCAGAAAUUGACAACUCCUUGGCCAAGUAUGGGCCACUUACAGAUGCCAUCUGCUCCUCCCAUCGCCCACAACAAAGGCAAAAGGUAGUGGAUGGGCAGAAUCUAUAGUAAGGGGAUUCAACAGCAAACCACCAUGGAUAGUAGAACCUUUGAGAGUCCAUAGCUGAUGUUUUAUUUUGAGGGGACAGACAGGCUUUGUAUUCAGAUUUCCCAGGUCCCAUCAUCUCCAGGUAGGGCUGGAACUUGUCAGAAAUCCCAAAGAGCUGUUGUCAGUCAGUGCAGCCAACAGUGAGUUAGAUGGACCAGAAUAUCAGCAUAUUCUGAUUCAGCAAACAACAUUUUUUAUGUUUCAGGGGGGUGGGAGAAGGGACAAACAAUUCAGGAAUACUUUAUGAGCAGAAAAGCUGCAAUUAAUCUGGUGCCAAAUAUAAUCACAGUUAAAGCUGACCAUGAUACCCACAGGACUCCUAUCUAAUCGAGAGAACCUUGAUGAGUCUUAACCCAGUACACACCGUACCAACAUAAUUCUUAUCUGUAGUUAAGAAUGGUGGAUAGGGUACCAACUUUUGAUUUCAAAAAUUAUGGAGCCAGGGGAAGGUCAGAAGGUGGAGUCUCUUGGAUGCCAGAGAGAGUAGAGCUAGUAGUAAAAGCUUUCCAUUUGCUCCUGCCAAAUACAGUGGACUGAGCCCAUGUCUGCAUUCUAGGGUGGGGUGAAAAAGCUGCAUAGGGAAGCAGGUGUAAGAACAAUCCCGACUCCCCAGCUGCCACUGAGAACUUGCCAAGUUGCUCUGCCACCACCCACCCUAUCUGCCUCAGCUUAAAAAUCUUAUUUGGGGGAAGUGGAAAGAGAGCUAUGGAAUAAACAGAUACAUGUACUUUACAGGCUCACAGGCAGGGGUAUGUUAAAUGCUGAGCUGGUGCUGAGCUUGGACUGAGCUCAACAACAUGGCACAUACAUUAGAUACACAUUUUAAGCCUGGGAAUUGUGAAAAUGAUGCUGCUUUUACUUGAAAAAGCAACUGACCAGAAGUAAAAAGAAAAACAGCUGUAUUGCUCCUGCCCUCCCUACCCUGGCCACUUUGGCAACCCUCUGAUGGGUCCACUUAUUAUUUAUCCUGCGAUCUGCACGAGCCUCAAGCAUAUUAUACCUGGUUCAAAAGAAAUGUUCAUAAAUAUGGUAGUUUGGCUCAUAAGAACAAAACAAUACAUUUUUUAAAUGGUGAUUCAAAAGGUAGCUGGUAAAAUGAAAGUCUAGUAUAAUGAAAAAUGAAUGCAGCAAGUGUACAAUGGCAAAACUUUGAAUGUACCUUUCUUCUACUAGCUUUUUGUUUGCCUUUUGCCUGUCGCUGAAGGCUAAACUUAUUUUGUCUAGUCAUCCAUCUUGACAUACUGCCAAAAACUCAAUGUUUUCUGGCUGCACAAAGUCCCUCUUGGGGUAUGCAUUGGCACCAGACUCUCAAGGUUCAGGUGAUACGCCUCUUGCCUUCACCACAAGAACAGUGGAAUAUUUUCCAGUCACUGUCAAAUUACAUUAGCUAAUCCACAUUUUGCUUUAUCUGAGAAUGAAAUUCACUCUAGGGCCAACCACAAGGCUUAUGAAUCAUCUAUUUGAACAACCAGACUAAUUUAAGAAUAAGUCUGAAGAUAGUAAGCCAUUCAAUAUCCUUCAGUUGAGCACAAUUUGCACAGAUCCCUUGAUACUAUGCAUUCACUCAUAUCAAUCCCAAAAUAGUACAGAUACUUUGAACAAACAAACAAAAAACACUCUGUCAGACCAUCUUUUUGGCUAUAAAUUUAUCCAAGCCUACAGCCUCAAGCGUUCUCCACAUUGAAAUCCUUGGAAUUUAUUUGCGAGAAAACAUGUUUAGAUUCGGCUGCAAACCAAAAAAAAUCAACCCAUUAUGACACUACUGGCAAGUGGCUCAUUCAUCAUAGUUCUUAGGCACCAUACAGAAAUAAUGAUAGACACGUUCAAGUUUGGAACAAAGUUUCAUUGAUAAGCAACACUACUAUAUUCCAUUUUCCAGUCAUACAACUAGUACCAUACACACAUGCCAACCUGUCACAAUGUGAAGUUGCUAACCUGUAUGCACCCUCUCUCUUUCUGCCAGUAGUGAGCUGGUAGGAACUACAGUGGCACAUCGGGUUAAGAACUUAAUUCGUUCUGGAAGUCGUUUCUUAACCUGAAGUACCACUUUAGCUAAUGGGGCCUCCCACUGCCGCCGCACGAUUUCUGUUCUUAUCCUGAAGCAAAGUUCUUAACCCAAGGUACUAUUUCAGGGUUAGUGGAGUCUGUAACCUGAAGCGUUUGUAACCCGAGGUACUACUGUACCAGCUUUAGUAGUGGCCCCGGAGCAGCACAACAAGCUAAAACCCUGAAAUAUAACUCUAUUCUGUUGGAGUUAGGGGAUCUUCUUAUUCAAGCAAUGAAAAGAUUUAGCCUACAUAACAGAUUGCAUUGGUAAUCAAGCUCCAGUCUUCACAAAUCACACUACUGACCCUAAAAGGCUGUACAAAAUGGAAAAAGGUAGCAUAACCUCUGCACAAAUGGAGUUCUCACUGGCCAAGCAUAUAAAGAAGCGACACACAGAAAACCACUAACUCCAAGAACACAAAACAUGGAGCCUUAAGCUAGCUUGUUGAGUGGCUUUGUGCACACUCACAUGCAGACACACUUUCUUCCUCAGCUUUCCAUAUUAUUGAAGCUGUACAAUUAUAUGUCAUCCAAUUGCUAGCAAUGAAAAGUAUUCCAUUCCAACAACCUUUUCUUGCAUUGAGAGAAGUCUGAUAUCAAGUGUCAGGCGAUAAAAUGAGUUCAACCAGGGGGCAUAUGUUAAGCAGCUGUGACUUAGCUGCUUAACAGUUCAGAUUCAAUGCCAGUGCAGAAGCUCUGCUUUUCACAUCUCCCUUCCUACACCUACACACUUGACCACAUAUGCAUGUGCAUAUAAAAAGAAUCAGGCCAGUUUAGUUUUCAUUUCUGGAACCACAGGGAAUUAUAUGUUGAGGCUACACUGGCCCCAUUUAUCCUAUUUGUUCACAUCAGAUAUAUUUCAGUGACACACUAAAUAAUUAAGUUUGUUGUCAAAAUGUAGUGUUUUCUCCUUUAAAUAUUUUCUAAUAAGGCAAACAUAGGGAGCAGAUGAGAAUCUGCAAACUUC